UACGUAGGGUGCAAGCGUUGUCCGGAAUUAUUGGGCGUAAAGAGCUCGUAGGCGGUUUGUCGCGUCGGCUGUGAAAACCUGGGGCUCAACCCCGGGCCUGCAGCCGAUACGGGCAAACUAGAAUUCGGUAGGGGAGACUGGAAUUCCUGGUGUAGCGGUGAAAUGCGCAGAUAUCGGGAAGAACACCCGUGGCGAAGGCGGCACUCUGGGACGGUACUGACGCUGAGACGCGAAAGCGUGGGGAGCGAACAGG
rnacentral:rRNA from 1 species